AUCGCUUCUCGGCCUUUUGGCUAGGAUCAAGUGUAGUAUCUGUUCCUAUCAGUUUAAUGUCUGAUACGUCCCCUAUCCGGGGACAAUAUUUCUAAUUGAAUUUUGGAGUAGGGAGAUGGAAUAGGGGCUUGCUCGUCCACUCCACGCAUCGACCUGGUAUUGCAGUGCCUCCAGGAAUGGUGCAAAAAAG
rnacentral:snRNA from 1 species